AUUGAUGUUCUAACGUUGGUCCCUGAAUCGGGAUUACGGACAGUGCCUGGUGGGUAGUUUGACUGGGGCGGUCUCCUCCCAAAGAGUAACGGAGGAGCACGAAGGUGGGCUAAACACGGUUGGACAUCGUGUGGUUAGUGCAAUGGCAUAAGCCCGCUUGACUGCGAGAAUGACAAUUCGAGCAGGUGCGAAAGCAGGUCAUAGUGAUCCGGUGGUUCUGAAUGGAAGGGCCAUCGCUCAACGGAUAAAAGGUACUCCGGGGAUAACAGGCUGAUACCGCCCAAGAGUUCAUAUCGACGGCGGUGUUUGGCACCUCGAUGUCGGCUCAUCACAUCCUGGGGCUGAAGUCGGUCCCAAGGGUAUGGCUGUUCGCCAUUUAAAGUGGUACGCGAGCUGGGUUUAGAACGUCGUGAGACAGUUCGGUCCCUAUCUGCCGUGGGCGUUGGAAAAUUGAAAGGGGCUGCUCCUAGUACGAGAGGACCGGAGUGGACGAACCUCUGGUGUUCGGGUUGUCAUGCCAAUGGCAUUGCCCGGUAGCUAAGUUCGGAAUCGAUAACCGCUGAAAGCAUCUAAGCGGGAAGCGAGCCUUGAGAUGAGUUUUCCCUGGCACUAUAAGUGUCCUAAAGGGUUGUCGUAGACUACGACGUUGAUAGGCAGGGUGUGUAAGUGCUGCGAGGCAUUGAGCUAACCUGUACUAAUUGCCCGUGAGGCUUAACCAUACAACACCCAAGGGGUUU
rnacentral:rRNA from 1 species